rnacentral:tRNA from 1 species
AAAAUAUUAGGUUAAAAUAAACCAUUGACCUUCAAAGUCAAAAACCAUAAGAAAAUGAUAUUUUG